rnacentral:rRNA from 1 species
AACGAACGCUGGCGGCAUGCCUAACACAUGCAAGUCGAACGAGACCUUCGGGUCUAGUGGCGCACGGGUGCGUAACGCGUGAGAACCUGCCCUUAGGUUCGGAAUAACUCCCCGAAAGGGGUGCUAAUACCGGAUAAUGUCUUCGGACCAAAGAUUUAUCGCCUUUGGAUGGGCCCGCGUUGGAUUAGCUAGUUGGUAGGGUAAAAGCCUACCAAGGCGACGAUCCAUAGCUGGUCUGAGAGGAUGAUCAGCCACACUGGGACUGAGACACGGCCCAGACUCCUACGGGAGGCAGCAGUGGGGAAUAUUGGACAAUGGGCGAAAGCCUGAUCCAGCAAUGCCGCGUGAGUGAUGAAGCCCUUAGGGUUGUAAAGCUCUUUUACCCGGGAUGAUAAUGACAGUACCGGGAGAAUAAGCUCCGGCUAACUCCGUG